AUUAACAUCAAUAAAUCUGGAGACGGAAGGAUCUCAGAUUCAUAUUCUCUCUGUGUCUCUGUGUGUGUGUCUCUCUCCUGUGUCUCUCUCACAUACACAUACACACACAUUCUCUGUGUAUCUUUGUGUCUCUGUAUCUCUCUCUGUGUAUCUGUCUCUCUGUCUCUAUCUCUCUCUGCCACUCUUACACAAACACUCUCUCUUAGACACACACAUAUAUACACACACACACAACCACUAUCACAAAAAAGAUACAAAUUAAAUAGAAUCAAUUAAAAUCUAAUGUGACACCAAUCUAUAUAACUUUGGAUCACAAGUUGUCUAAGUUUUUACGGGCUCCCAGUAUAGCUAAGGUUGUUCAUGGUCACCUGUGUGUGUCACAGCUUCCCUCUAAAAGCCAACUCCUUAUCCUUGGCGAUAAGGGAAGUUAAUGACAUCACAAUGAAAAUGUUUUUGCUCUUCAUGAAGCAAAAUUAUUAGAACCGAUCAAAUCAAAUUCCUUUGACAGAAGGGAUUUAAAAAUGUAACCCACUUUGG
rnacentral:lncRNA from 1 species